UACGUAGGGUGCAAGCGUUGUCCGGAAUUAUUGGGCGUAAAGAGCUCGUAGGCGGUCUGUCGCGUCGGCUGUGAAAACUCGGGGCUCAACUCCGAGCUUGCAGUCGAUACGGGCAGGCUAGAGUUCGGCAGGGGGAGACUGGAAUUCCUGGUGUAGCGGUGAAAUGCGCAGAUAUCAGGAGGAACACCGGUGGCGAAGGCGGGUCUCUGGGCCGAUACUGACGCUGAGGAGCGAAAGCGUGGGGAGCGAACAGG
rnacentral:rRNA from 1 species